GUAAUGCCGGAUGUUCCAGUUGAUCGCAUGGUCUUCUGGGAAAGCUUUCGCGGUAUGGGAUGGGGUCGCGUCCUAUCAGCUUGACGGCGGGGUAACGGCCCACCGUGGCUUCGACGGGUAGCCGGCCUGAGAGGGCGACCGGCCACAUUGGGACUGAGAUACGGCCCAGACUCCUACGGGAGGCAGCAGUGGGGAAUAUUGCACAAUGGGCGCAAGCCUGAUGCAGCGACGCCGCGUGAGGGAUGGAGGCCUUCGGGUUGUAAACCUCUUUUAUCGGGGAGCAAGCGAGAGUGAGUUUACCCGUUGAAUAAGCACCGGCUAACUACGUGCCAGCAGCCGCGGUAAUACGUAGGGUGCAAGCGUUAUCCGGAAUUAUUGGGCGUAAAGGGCUCGUAGGCGGUUCGUCGCGUCCGGUGUGAAAGUCCAUCGCUUAACGGUGGAUCCGCGCCGGGUACGGGCGGGCUUGAGUGCGGUAGGGGAGACUGGAAUUCCCGGUGUAACGGUGGAAUGUGUAGAUAUCGGAA
rnacentral:rRNA from 1 species